UACGUAGGGUGCGAGCGUUUGUCCGGAAUUAUUGGGCGUAAAGGGCUCGUAGGCGGUUUGUCGCGUCGGGAGUGAAAUCCACUGGCUUAACUGGUGGCUUGCUUUCGAUACGGGCAGACUGGAGGUAUGCAGGGGAGAACGGAAUUCCUGGCGUAGCGGUGAAAUGCGCAGAUAUCAGGAGGAACACCGGUGGCGAAGGCAGAUCUCUGGGCCGUAACUGACGCUGAGGAGCGAAAGCGUGGGGAGCGAACAGG
rnacentral:rRNA from 1 species